rnacentral:rRNA from 1 species
ACAGCAGCAGCCGCGGGAAUACAGAGGGUGCGAGCGUUAAUUGGAUUUACUGGGCGUAAAGCGUGCGUAGGCGGCUUCUUAAGUCGGAUGUGAAAUCCCUGAGCUUAACUUAGGAAUUGCAUUCGAUACUGGGAAGCUAGAGUAUGGGAGAGGAUGGUAGAAUUCCAGGUGUAGCGGUGAAAUGCGUAGAGAUCUGGAGGAAUACCGAUGGCGAAGGCAGCCAUCUGGCCUAAUACUGACGCUGAGGUACGAAAGCAUGGGGAGCAAACAGGAUUAGAUACCCCCGUAGUCCCUGUCUCUUAUAC